UACGUAGGCAGCGAGCGUUGUUCGGAGUUACUGGGCGUAAAGGGUGUGUAGGCGGUUCUUUAAGUUUGGUGUGAAAGCCCCGGGCUCAACCUGGGAAUGGCAGUGGAUACUGGCAAGCUAGAGUGCGGUAGAGGGUAGUGGAAUUCCCGGUGUAGCGGUGAAAUGCGUAGAGAUCGGGAGGAACACCAGUGGCGAAGGCGGCUACCUGGACCAGCACUGACACUGAGGCACGAAAGCGUGGGGGGCAAACAGG
rnacentral:rRNA from 1 species